rnacentral:rRNA from 1 species
AACUUUCAACAACGGAUCUCUUGGUUCUCGCAUCGAUGAAGAACGCAGCGAAAUGCGAUAAGUAAUGUGAAUUGCAGAAUUCAGUGAACCAUCGAAUCUUUGAACGCACCUUGCGCUCCUUGGUAUUCCGAGGAGCAUGCCUGUUUGAGUGUC